GAAGUGCGAUAAGCAAUGCGAAUUGCAGAACCGUGAGUCAUCAGAUUUUUGAACGCAACUGGCGCCGACUGGAUAUCCAGUCGGCAUGCUUGUUUCAGUGUCUUGUUUUCUCCUCACCUAAAUCUUAAUGCGAGAGAUACCCUUCUUUCGUUAAACAAGAAAGCACUCUGUGCUCCUGCGUGCGGUUUCUUGGAUUCGUUCAAGGAUCGCACUCAAUGCAGUCGUCACAUUGCUCACAAUGUGAACUCAUUGAGAGCAGGAGGGCAGUACAGCGAAAGCUGUCAGCGCUUAGAUACUCAAACUUUCUUUGCAUCUGAAAUCAAGCAGGAUCACCCGCUGAACUUAA
rnacentral:misc_RNA from 1 species